CAGCAGCCGCCACGGUAAUACGUAGGGUGCAAGCGUUAAUCGGAAUUACUGGGCGUAAAGCGUGCGCAGGCGGUUAUAUAAGACAGAUGUGAAAUCCCCGGGCUCAACCUGGGAACUGCAUUUGUGACUGUAUAGCUAGAGUACGGCAGAGGGGGAUGGAAUUCCGCGUGUAGCAGUGAAAUGCGUAGAUAUGCGGAGGAACACCGAUGGCGAAGGCAAUCCCCUGGGCCUGUACUGACGCUCAUGCACGAAAGCGUGGGGAGCAAACAGGAUUAGAUACCCCUGUAGUCCCUGUCUCUUAUAC
rnacentral:rRNA from 1 species